AAUUCAUGGUGAGGACAUUUUCUUAACAAAUCAUUCAACCUUUCCCAAGCUUCAUGGAAUUGUUCCCUAUCAUUUUGGGUGAAUCCAAUGAUAGCCGCUCUUAUUU